rfam:Phycisphaerae bacterium SM23_30 WORSMTZ_562, whole genome shotgun sequence.
GUGAAUAUCGCCGGUUCUGGGCGGCUCAGAUGAGCCUUAAUAGGGAAGACGGUUAAAGGCCGUCGCGGACCCGCCGCUGUAAUCGGGACGAACGCCGGAUUAUGCCACUGUCUCAAAUGAUGGGAAGGCCCGGCCAGUAGGAUCAACCGAGAGCCAGAAAACCUCGCCCUUUACCGGAAAACCAAC